UACGAAGGGGGCUAGCGUUGCUCGGAAUCACUGGGCGUAAAGCGCACGUAGGCGGAUUGUUAAGUCGGGGGUGAAAUCCUGGAGCUCAACUCCAGAACUGCCUUCGAUACUGGCGAUCUUGAGUCCGGGAGAGGUGAGUGGAACUCCGAGUGUAGAGGUGAAAUUCGUAGAUAUUCGGAAGAACACCAGUGGCGAAGGCGGCUCACUGGCCCGGAACUGACGCUGAGGUACGAAAGCGUGGGGAGCAAACAGG
rnacentral:rRNA from 1 species